GAUGAAGAACGCCGAAAUGCGAUAAGUAAUGUGAAUUGCAGAAUUCAGUGAAUCAUCGAAUCUUUGAACGCAUCUUGCGCUCCUUGGUAUUCUGAGGAGCAUGCCUGUUUGAGUGUCAUUAAAUUCUCAACUACACUGACUUUGAAUUGGUGUGGCUUGGAUUUGGGGGGAAAAUUGUUGUGGGCUUUUUGUAUAGUCUGCUCCCCUGAAAUUGAUUAGCGGUACCUUUGUGGAACUGUCUACAGGUGUGAUAAUUAUCUACAUCUUAGACAUCUGCUGGAAUGCUGCUUUCUAAACCUUACUUGUAUUGACAAUCUUGACCUCAAAUCAGGUAGGACUACCCGCUGAACUUAAGCAUAUCAAUAAGCGGAGGA
rnacentral:misc_RNA from 1 species